rnacentral:lncRNA from 1 species
AGAACCCAGCCCCCAUAGUGUGAGGAGGCCUAGGACAGUUACAGAAGCCAUGUGUAGGUGUUCUGGCUCCAGCAAAAGUCUUAUCUGACAACAUCAACUACAUGUUAGUGGCCUUUCCUUGAAAUUGCUGGAGCUUGUGCAUCAUCAAAAUAAUGGCAUAAACCAAGGAAGAAGAAAACAAAAUUGAGGAAAUGGGAUCCAACACAAAAGAGAGACAACAGGAUUAAUUGAGUGUUGGUGAAAAGCCACAGCCUGUAAAUAAUGCAGUUCGAACUGAAAUAGACCAGGAGGCUCAAGGAGAGACUUCUUCAAGAAGAUAAAAUUGAUAGAAUGCCUAAGGAGUUUGAGUGCAUUGAGAAUAGAUUCAUAUCAGUUCUGGAGAACUGGGUGGAUACAUUAAUGUAUAACCUCAUCCUGGAGCAGGGCACCCUAUCGUCAGAUGGUAUCAUCUUUAAGGGGUUGUCUCAGCCAUGCCUUUAGAAUUACCUUUCAUUGCUUGUCAUGCUGGAAGCUUCUGAAUGUUGCAUUUUGUGAUAGAAACAGUGGGUACCAUGGUCAUGUGCUCACAUCUCCUUUGCGGUAAAGAAAAGGAUCACUCAUUAACAUCCACCAGAUAACAUUCUCCAUGAAAGCACCAAAUAAACUAACCAGAAUUGGCUACAGUUUCUUCAAGAAAAUACCCCAAUGGAAGAAAAAAAGGUGGAGGGAGAAACUGAAUGAAGAAAGGAUGAUUUGAAAUUACCAGAAAGUGGAACGUGGAAAAAACAGAGUAAAACUAGUUU